GCACCAGCAUUGAUAUCGAGUUGGCCAAGCAACAGCACAAGUCCGGCCUGCAGGAGCCCCAAUACAGGACCAUCCUUUCCCUCCCCUGAUCCCUAGCUCCUCCCACUCGACCUCUGGCCACAAAGGGUCAGCAUCGUUACACAAGUCUGUUCUGCAAUAAAUCCUCAGCACGUCAAGUUUUCACGCGCUGUUAUGAACAACCAAAAUGUCCGCGUCGAGAUUUCCCCAAGCAAGCCCGAGUAGUUUUGUUUAGCUCUAGUGCCCGAGUGGGAUGAGUGUUACAGAAGCGAGACGUUAUAGCAGUACAUAUGGUAACGCAAACAGUUAACGCUAACAGUUAGUUCUCGCUGUGGACAUCACGAAGAAUCUCACAAAGAAUUAAACGUUGAAUAAUUUGUUUCAUUCUUUAUAAGACACAGGGUUCGCACAGGGCUUGAAAAGUGCUUGAAAACGAGUCCUAGGCUUGAAAAGCCCUUGAACAAAGGUUGGCCUUAAAACAGUGCUUGAAAAGUGCUUAGUUCAUGUAAAAAAGCCUUGAAAAUGUUUAUUUCUGCUCAAAAUUACUUUUAUCAUGGCUUUAAUUAUAAACUUAAAUCGUUCCUAUGGGAAAUAUUACGAAAAUGUAUCAUAGAUUCCUUCGCGCAAAAAGUUGAGUACGAAAUAUAAGUUUCGUACUAUAUUGAGUACAAAAUGUUAUGUGUACACGUCACAGAUUAUGUGUGCCAUGUCAGAGGUUCUCCAUUGUGAUCAAUUUUCGCAAGUGAAAACGCAGCAAUGGGGAAGUGUCGUUUCAAACCAGGGUGGUUAACUGAAUAUUCCUGGGUACAGAAAACAAAUGACAUUCGAAAAGCACAUUGUUGGGUCUGUAUGAAGACCAUUGAUGUCGGGGGUAUGGGGGAAAGCGCUUUGAAAAGCCACAAGAAAGUGAAAACCCUCAAAGAAAACAUGAAAUUGAGAAGCAAACAGGGUUCCUGCGAUGUGUUUUUUGUUAAACAGGAAGGUACUAUUGUUAAAACUGUUAAAUCUAAAACAGACUUAAAAAACAACAGCCCAUCUGUGUCGAACCAGGAAGGCACAGCCACAUGCAGAGAGUGUGCAGAUAGAAGAUUCAAAUUCCAGGACCUUCGCAACUUUCAGCUGUAGUAUCAAACUCGCAGACAUCCAUAGACAAAUUCGUUUAAAAAAAUGAUAUGUUGAACGCUAAAGUAUUGUGGGUAUUUAUACCGUUUGGACACAACCAUCCUUUAAUUCCAAUAAAAAAAUUACAAAGUUUUUUCAGGUUGUGUUCCAUGACAGUACCAUAGCAAAGCAUAAUUAUGUGGCUGUUUUGGGGCUAGCUGAACAUUUCAAAACUGUACUUGAUAGUUCUAUAACUUAAAUAGUGGACAGUACUCAGUGUCUCAGUACUCGGUGUCUUUUGAUGAAAGUUUAAACAAGAAAGACCAAUCCAAGCAAAUGGAAAAGGCAUUUUUUUAAAGGAAACUAACCUACAGUUUAUGGACUUGAAAAUGAAUAUUUGGUCUUGGAAAGUCCUUGAAAAGUGCUUGAAUUUAGGUUUGAGAUUUCUGUUUGAAACAUGAGACAUCUAUAUAUUCAGCAAGGAACGAGAGCAAAUCAAGGAACAAUCGAAACGAUUCAUUCAGAAGUGUUUCUGCUGUAAAUAGUUAGGACAGAAGUAGUGUUACGGACUGUCCUCAGCGCACAAUUUAUUCAUGUGGUGCGCCUCAGACGCGAAUUCCGCCCAUUAUUGAAAACAAGUUGCUAAAAGUAAACACAUCCGGUUUUGUUACGAGCACUUUGCACUCCGAGCCAAAAGGGCAUUGCAUUGAAUUGAGACUAAAGAAGGCUUGAAAACAUGACCCCAGUUUUGUUGUAUGGUCCAGUACGCCCUUCGACUCUCAACCCGAAGUUUAUCAGAACUCAAACUCGGCCCUUAACAAUAUCCGCGAGGCCAGCAUAUCAGCUCAGCUUCUGAGCUUCAGCAAACACUUUAAGCCGCCAAGAUAAAAACAUCGUUGAAGUGAAAGUAGAUGACUAUCCUGACCCCUUCGCUUAAAUAAUUCAGCACAAAAACGUCUUGCGUCAGAGUAGCAAACCUCCAAACAUCUUCUCCCAUGUUGGCUACAUCAACACUUCUUACAGCGGAGCCUUGACGAGUUUGACUUCCAUCCCAGCAUCGACUUGUUCCUUAUUGCGACUGACCUCGAUAAGUUGCUCUCGAUUAAUGUGAACCUUAUGCCAGUAUGUGAUUGACGCCAUUUAACAACAGUUGCUGUUGAGAAUUCCCGGGUUUGAGGUGGCAACUUUGGCGUCAGGACUCUCUCCAUCUCUGUCUAUGGCCCGGUCAAAGCAGCAGCAGCAGCAAUAAGAACAACAAGUAGUAUCUGAGAGGUGCUCUGCUGGGAUACGGGGCUUCAUAGCCGGUUCCCUCAGGACCCGAUGCACUGAUUAUGCACAUGUGACUCUUGUACGCAGCUGAACAACAGGCUCUCUGGUCAGCUGGACCCGAACGCCCAGGGAUUUUUUCUGGCCAAGUUUCAUGGGGCAAAUGCCCAAUGAGUUCUACCCGAGGGUGCAGCGUCUCUAGACCUGGGGCUCCAGACUGCCUUACUCAAGGGCCAAGAAUACUUUAUCUGCAAGAGGCCUUAUGCUCACAGGUUCCCCAAAUACAACUCAGCCACAACAUCCUAAUCGGCUAGUCUGGGAAACCACUUACCUUUGGGAAACGCACUCUGCACAGGCUAGUCAGGGAAACCACUUACCUCUGGGAAACGCAAUCUGCACAGGCUAGUCAGGGAAACCACUAACCUCUUGUAAACGCAAUCCACACAGUCUAGUCAGGGAAACCAUUUACCUCUGGGAAACGCAAUCCGCACAGGCUAGUCAGGGAAACAACUUACCUCUGGAAAACGCAAUCCGCACAGGCUAGUCAGGGAAACAACUUACAUGUGGGAAACGCAAUCCACACAGGCUAGUCAGGGAAACCACUUACAUCCGGGAAACGCAAUCCGCACAGGCUAGUGAGGGAAACCACUUACCUCUGGGAAACGCAAUCCGCACAGGCUAGUCAUGGAAACCACUUACAUCUGGGAAACCCAAUCCGCACAGGUUAGUCAGGAAAACCACUAACCUUUGGGAAACGUAAUCCGCACAGGCUAGUCAGGGAAACCACUUACCUCUGGGAAACGCAAUCCGCACAGGCUAGUCAGGGAAACCACUUACGUCUGGGAAACGCAAUCUGCACAGGCUAGUCAGGGAAACCACUUACCUCUGGGAAACGCAAUCUGCACAGGCUAGUCAGGGAAACCACUUAUCGCAAAAACUGGAUUUUGAUAAUGAAAUGCUUCCUUAAAAACCAAAAAAUCAAUAAAAGCGAAAGUGUUGACACUUAUUAACAUCUGCUAUCCGUUUCAAAAUAAGUUUUAUUGGAUCAUCAUGAAAAUGUUCAAUAUUGUUUUGGGGCAUACUAUCUUUUACAAGUUUAGUAACCAGCCAGAUCGCAUUGUCUUGUUUAAUGAAGAACAUAGACCGUUAAACAUAUCUAACAUUGUACACACGAUCAAUGUGAACCAGACUGUUAAACAUAUCGAACAUUGUACACACGAUCAAUGUAAACCAGACUUCUAACCGGGAGUAUUUUGUUGGUUUUAUCUUUCUUCAUUUUUUUGGUGUGUGAAAUGUCGGAAAAGUUGCGACUCGACUAAGCAUUAAUGCCACCAGAAUUUAUGCAAUUGGCGUAAGUUUCAUAAUAGUUCAUACACUCUUAAGUUUGCUGCUCAUGUUACAAAACUGUGUAAUGCUUUGUAUAAUUUAUAUCAUGUCUAAUUUUGACACAUGGUUACUUGCCUUAAGUAAAGGACAUUCUAAGUGAUGAAUAGAAUUAUCUCUUGCUGAUGCUACUGGAGUUUAAGUUUGUUGAUAUUUUAUUUUACAGGACAACUUGUCAACCAACAUGGAACAGUACCCUGAAAAUCACGACCAUCUAAAGAACUGUGCAACUGUGCCAAGCGUGACCCUUUAGAGAAAGGGGCUUCCAUGCCGAAGGUCAAAUUGGUACCAAUCUGGGCUCAAGCAGCAGCCUCAGUCUAUAAUCUAUUAUCUAUUAACAUUCCAAUCUCACAGUAAUAUUACAAAAACAUGACCUGCAAGGUGGAGAUGUGAAUACAAUGAGUAUUAAAUCCCACAAACCAUGCAGAGGUUAUAUGGGAGUCAAUGUUCUUGGCCGUUGUUCAGUGUCAAGCGGAAUCCUAGCAACCAAGCCACGUCAGCACAGCAGCAAAAACAGUUUCAGCAGCAGUCGUAUACUAAACAUCAACAACAGUGGUGCAUAUGCAUUAAGCUACGAGAGUAAACAAGUUGAUUGCGUAAUGUGGCAUCAAAGUCUGCAAGGAGAAACCAUGCAAUUGAGGAAGCCAGGAAACCAUGUGAUAAUUUCAAGCAGCUUACCUACUCUUGAAACCCGAAUAGCAAAGCAUUGAGAUUGUUCUGGAAGCAUUUGUAGUCACAGCUCAUUAAGCAUCCCCCUGAAGCAGGACCCUCAGUCUACGGACGCCAAUUGACGAAAUAAAACUUGUCAUUCAGCAACACAGCCAGUUGCAGCAGUUGUUACCAUAUUGACCCCAGUCAAAACUAGGAGCUCAGAGACAAUCAGCAACACAGCCAGUUGCAGCAGUUGUUAACAAAUUGACCCCAGUAAAAACUAGGAGCUUAGAGACAAUCAGCAACACAGCCAUUUGCAGCAGUUGUUACCAUAGUGACCCCAGUCAAAACUAGGAGCUCAGAGAUAAAUACUGUUUAAGAUAGAUAUUCUCUACAUUCCUCAUGGUCAGGCAACACAGCCAGUUGCAGCAGUUGUUACCGCAUUGACCCCAGUCAAAACUAGGAGCUCAGAGAUAAAUACUGUUUAAGAUAGAUAUUCUCUACAUUCCUCAUGGUCAGGCAACACAGCCAGUUGCAGCAGUUGUUACCAUAUUGACCCCAGUCAAAACUAGGAGCACAGAGACAAUCAGCAACACAGCCAUUUGCAGCAGUUGUUACCAUAGUGACCCCAGUCAAAACUAGGAGCUCAGAGAUAAAUACUGUUUAAGAUAGAUAUUCUCUACAUUCCUCAUGGUCAGGCAACACAGCCAGUUGCAGCAGUUGUUACCGUAUUGACCCCAGUCAAAACUAGGAGCUCAGAGAUAAAUACUGUUUAAGAUAGAUAUUCUCUACAUUCCUCAUGGUCAGGCAACACAGCCAGUUGCAGCAGUUGUUACCAUAUUGACCCCAGUCAAAACUAGGAGCACAGAGACAAUCAGCAACACAGCCAGUUGCAGCAGUUGUUACCAUAUUGACCCCAGUCAAAACUAGGAGCACAGAGACAAUCAGCAACACAGCCAGUUGCAGCAGUUGUUAACAAAUUGACCCCAGUCAAAACUAGGAGCUCAGAGACAAUCAGCAACACAGCCAGUUGCAGCAGUUGUUACCAUAUUGACCCCAGUCAAAACUAGGAGCUCAGAGACAAUCAGCAACACAGCCAGUUGCAGCAGUUGUUAACAAAUUGACCCCAGUCAAAACUAGGAGCUCAGAGACAAUCAGCAACACAGCCAGUUGCAGCAGUUGUUACCAUAUUGACCCCAGUCAAAACUAGGAGCUCAGAGACAAUCAGCAACACAGCCAGUUGCAGCAGUUGUUAACAAAUUGACCCCAGUCAAAACUAGGAGCUCAGAGACAAUCAGCAACACAGCCAGUUGCAGCAGUUGUUACCAUAUUGACCCCAGUCAAAACAAGGAGCUCAGAGACAAUCAGCAACACAGCCAGUUGCAGCAGUUGUUACCAUAUUGACCCCAGUCAAAACAAGGAGCUCAGAGAUAGAUCAACACAGCCAGUUGCAGCAGUUGUUACCAUAUUGACCCUAGUCAAAACUAGGAGCAGCAGUUGUUACCAUAUUGACCCCAGUCAAAACUAGGAGCAGCAGUUGUUACCAUAUUGACCCUAGUCAAAACUAUGAGCUCAGAGAUAAAUACUGUUUAAGAUAGAUCAACACAGCCAGUUGAAGCAGUUGUUACCAUAUUGACCCCAGUCAAAACUAAGAGCUCAGAGAUACAAGCUGUUUAAGAUAGAUCAACACAGCCAGUUGCAGCAGUUGUUACCAUAUUGACCCCCGUCAAAACUAGGAGCUCAGAGACAAUCAGCAACACAGCCAGUUGCAGCAGUUGUUACCAUAUUGACCCCAGUCAAAACUAGGAGCUCAGAGACAAUCAGCAACACAGCGAGUUGCAGCAGUUGUUACCGUAUGACCCCAGUCAAAACUAAGAGCUCAGAGACAAUCAGCAACACAGCCAGUUGCAGCAGUUGUUACCGUAUGACCCCAGUCAAAACUAGGAGCUCAGAGACAAUCAGCAACACAGCCAGUUGCAGCAGUUGUUACCGUAUGACCCCAG